rnacentral:rRNA from 1 species
UUAGGAGUAUCCUGAGUAGCGCGGGACACGUGAAAUCCUGUGUGAACCAGCGGGGCCCAUCCCGUAAGGCUAAAUACUCCCGAGAGACCGAUAGUGAACCAGUACCGUGAGGGAAAGGUGAAAAGAACCUCGAACAGAGGAGUGCAAUAGACCCUGAACCCGUCUGCCUACAAGCGGUAGGAGCAGCCAUGAGCUGUGACUGCGUGCCUUUUGCAUAAUGAACCUACGAGUUACUUUCUCUGGCAAGGUUAAGAGAUGAAGAGUCUCGUAGCCGAAGCGAAAGCGAGUCUGAAUAGGGCGAUUUAGUCAGAGGGAGUAGACGCGAAACCAAGUGAUCUACCCUUGGUCAGGUUGAAGGUUGGGUAAAACCAACUGGAGGACCGCACCGGUAAGCGUUGAAAAGCUUUCGGAUGAACUGAGGGUAGGGGUGAAAGGCUAAUCAAACUUGGAGAUAGCUCGUACUCCCCGAAAUGCAUUUAGGUGCAGCCUGUGGAGUUUCUUGUGUGAGGUAGAGCGACUGAUUGGAUGCGAGGCUUUCACCGGCUAUCAAGUCCAGACAAACUCCGAAUGCAUACAAGUUAGAUCCAUGGAGUGAGGGCAUGGGUGCUAAGGUCCAUGUCCGAGAGGAGAAGAAUCCAGACCAUCGGCUAAGGUCCCGAAAUAAUAGCUAAGUUGACCAAACGAAGUCAGAGUGCUAAGACAGCUAGGAUGUUGGCUUGGAAGCAGCCAUUCAUUUAAAGAGUGCGUAACAGCUCACUAGUCGAGUGCUUUGGCGUGGAUAAUAAUCGGGCAUAAGCUAUUUACCGAAGCUGUGGGAUGUUUAAGACAUCGGUAGGGGAGCAUUCUAGCGGCGCUGAAGGUAGGAGGACAACUUCUGCUGGAGCUUCUAGAAAAGCAAAUGUAGGUAUAAGUAACGAUAAAGGAGGUGAGAAACCUCCUCGCCGAAAGACUAAGGUUUCCUGAUCAACGCUAAUCGGAUCAGGGUUAGUCGGGGCCUAAGGGGCAGCCGAACGGCGCACCCGAUGGAAGAACCGGUUAAUAUUCCGGUACUAAUUAUGUGAGCGAUGUGGAGACGGAGAUGUGACGGUCCUGCCAGCUGACGGAAUAGCUGGUUGAAGGGAGUAGGCGUUGAUCGGGGUAGGCAAAUCCGCCCUGAGAGCUGAACCUGACAGUACACUGAGUGCUUGCACGAGGUGAUAUGGACAAAGUAACGGAGCUUCCUAGAAAAUCCGCUAAGCAUAUUGCAUGAUUACCCGUACCAUAAACCGACACAGGUGGUUGGGUUGAGUAUACUAAGGCGCUCGAGUGAUUCGCGGUUAAGGAACUAGGCAAAAUAGUCCUGUAACUUCGGAAUAAAGGACGCUCACUUAACAGGUGAGCCGCAGAGAAUAGGCCCAGGCGACUGUUUAACAAAAACACAUGGCUAUGCAAAAUCGAAAGAUACAGUAUAUAGCCUGACACCUGCCCGGUGCUGGAAGGUUAAGAGGAGAUGUCAUCGCAAGAGAAGCAUUGAAUUGAAGCCCCAGUAAACGGCGGCCGUAACUAUAACGGUCCUAAGGUAGCGAAAUUCCUUGUCGGGUAAGUUCCGACCUGCACGAAUGGUGUAACGAUCUGGGUACUGUCUCAACCGCGAGCUCGGUGAAAUUGUAGUAUCGGUGAAGAUGCCGAUUACCCGCAACGGGACGAAAAGACCCCGUGAACCUUUACUAUAGCUUUGCAUUGGAUUUGGGUAACAAAUGUGUAGGAUAGGCCGGAG